rnacentral:rRNA from 1 species
UGGGGGAUAUUGCGCAAUGGAGGAAACUCUGACGCAGCAACGCCGCGUGAAGGAAGAAGGUCUUCGGAUUGUAAACUUUUGUCUUCGGGGACGAUAAUGACGGUACCCGAGGAGGAAGCCACGGCUAACUACGUGCCAGCAGCCGCGGUAAUACGUAGGUGGCGAGCGUUGUCCGGAAUUACUGGGUGUAAAGGGUGCGUAGGCGGGUAGACAAGUCAGAUGUGAAAUCCCAUGGCUUAACUGUGGGACUGCAUUUGAAACUGUAUAGCUUGAGUGCAGGAGAGGUAAGCGGAAUUCCCAGUGUAGCGGUGAAAUGCGUAGAUAUUGGGAGGAACACCAGUGGCGAAGGCGGCUUACUGGACUGCAACUGACGCUGAUGCACGAAAGCGUGGGGAUCAAACA